UUUAUUAUCUCAUUCUUCAUCACACAGACACUGAACUCAUUGUUAUCGUCAGCAUCCGUCCUCAUGGUGAGUUACCAUUAUUACGACCAGAGCCAGGCAAAAAUAUGAAGGAUGCAUGAUUUCAGCUCUGCAACAGACCUUGGAUAAUCAUCCCUUUUGAAAAUGUAGCCCUGCUUGGCAACCCAGGCAAUGCACGUCAAUCCGAGGACCCAUUUCCAACCCUCCAAUCAGC